CCUUUUUUUCGUUCUAGUACCAUUUGGUGUGAGUCAUCUAGAGUUCCUCAUGGUUUCUCUUUGUAGAAACCCUAGGGCUGCCUUCUGUUCUUUCUCUAUUGCAUUACUGGAAUGUGUGCAUGCCUUUACCUUGUUUCAAAAUGUCUUUAGGGACUAUCUCCUCUUUUCCCUGGAUUCCUUCUAUAACUUCUAAGAAAUUAAAUGGGAAAAAUUACCUAUCUUGGUCUGUGUCAAUUGAACUUUGAUAUCUUGCUCAAAGGUUCCAUGAUCACUUAAAAGAAUAUUGGAGUAGAGUACCAACAGAUCAAAUUCAACCUUGGAAGAAACCUGAUUUUCAUCUUUGUGCUCUACUUUGGCUUAGGUCAUCCAAAACCCGUAACUCCUUUUGGAUAAAGGUCAAAAAUAUUUUUGUAGACGAUGUCCAACACCUCUAUGAUUAUGCUAAUCGAUUGUCUCAAGCAAUCUGAUAAUGACAUGACGUCUUUCAUUGCUAAAUCUCAAUCAAUAGUUGAGGAAUUGAAAAUGUUCUUGGUAGUUCACUCAUUAGUUGAGAUAAAAGAAAUGUUGGAUAAGUUUUAUAUGGUUAUGAUCCUCUAUGCCAUGAAUCUAGAUUUUUAUCAUAUUAGUGAUCAAAUUUUAACCUGUCAAGAAGUUUCUUCUAUGGAAAACUUGACAAGACUCGAUCGUGUACCAUCACUACUUUAUGGAUGAAAAUUAAUCCAAACAUUUUUUUUUCAACAUUAAUUAUUUCUUAAGCUUACUUUUUUAACAAUUUUUUUUUUAAAAUAUAUUUUAAAUUUUUUUCACAGAUUUUAUUUCUGAAAAUAUAAUUUUAAAAAUAGAUUUCUAAUUUUCUUAAAAUAUAUUAUUUUUAUGGAUGAAUUGUAUUCAUGAGAAAGCUGUUAAUGGAUAGAUUGAAUUGGAUUUUUUAUUAAUUAGAUCAGGAUGAAUAAGAUAUUUUAAUUAAAUUUUUGGUGGAUCAUAAUGGAUUAAUGAUUUUUUUCAUCGUAUCCAUUAUAAUUCGAAAUAAAAUUGAUCAAAUCCGUCCAGUAUGUCAUUCUUAGUCCUACAGUUAUUUGUUUAAAAGUUUGUAUAUUCAAGGGUGUUGUCUCCUUGAUCUUAAAUUUGCUAUAAAAUAAGUGCAUGUUUGAAACUCUUCUUCUAAAGAAAAUACUUAUUUUUCAAAAGCUCUGAUUAGAUAGUAUGAAAAAAUAAGCUAAUAUUGGUUCACAAUAAGUUGAACCAAACAGAUUGUUUGGCUUGUCUAAUGGGCUCCCUGCGUUUGGUUUGUUUGAAGGAAAUUUGUUUAGCUGAAAAAGAAAAAAGAGGGAAAAUUUGUAUGAGGGAAUGGUCAACUAACUAUAACGGUGUAAUCGGAGCAUACUAGUAUAUGGUUUUUCGGUGUUUGUUACUUCGGAAGAUGGAUAUUGUAUAUUUAUUUAAGUGUUUUGAUGGUUUAUGCCAAUUUUUUGUGCUCAUGUUCUUCUUCCUUCUAUUUUCGAUUUUCUGUACAGUUUAUUUUGUUUGGAGAAAUCGUGCUGGCACAGAAGGUAAUGUAUGAAAAAUUUGGGGAUGCUUUUCUGGUUCAUUUUGUAUCAAAAGGAUUAUCUUCUGCAAAUAGCCCACAAGAUCUGGCAGAGCAAUAUCGUCAAAAGUUGCAGGGUGGAGAUUUAAAGGCACUAAAAUCUUUCUAUCAGUCAGUAGUGGAAAACUUGAGACUGCAGCAGAAUGGAAGCCUUGUAUUCAGAUAGCAUACUUGUAUUGGAAAAAUUAGCGAGUCCUCUUCCUAUAUAAUAUAUAAGGCUUUGUUUUUUGGCCGUCUCCUAGUUUGGGGUUUGAUUUCUUUCUACAGAAGGUAGUUACGAUUUGUUUUUGAUGAAAUCAAGUUUGAGCUCUUUUUGAUUGGUUUUUCAAUCACCAGUAAAUUUUGUCCCUCAAUAGUGCGGUAAUGAAACGGUGGGGAACACUGCAGGGUUGUGUAUAUAGAUUUUGCGGUCGAGCGAUGGAUAUUCUACUGGCCCUAAUUUUGACGACUUCCUCAUGCAACCUCACCAAUCAGCUAAUUGUCUCAGGUCUUUCAUUAUUCUUUUUGUCCCACACUUGUAAAUUUUUGUUAUUCUCUUGACAUCCAUCGGUUCCAAGCUUGUCAAUAUGAGGUCAAGAUUUUGGUUUUUGAUUUCUCAA